rnacentral:rRNA from 1 species
UACGAAGGGGGCUAGCGUUGUUCGGAAUUACUGGGCGUAAAGCGUGCGCAGGCGGCUUCUCAAGUCAGGGGUGAAAGCCCAGAGCUCAACUCUGGAAUUGCCUUUGAGACUGAGUGGCUUGAGUACGAGAGAGGUGAGUGGAAUUCCCAGUGUAGAGGUGAAAUUCGUAGAUAUUGGGAAGAACACCGGUGGCGAAGGCGGGUCUCUGGGUAGUAACUGACGCUGAGGAACGAAAGCGUGGGUAGCGAACAGG